CACUCAGACUUCAACCACUGCUCGCCGCCAUCUAACUUCUGAAGAUACUCCGCAAAGAAUUCUCUGUUCGGCAAAACGUAGUUUGUCCUCGAGAUCCACCAUGCAGCGACUGGUCAUCGUUGUCUGCCUGUUGGUGGCGCUGUCUGUUCCAUACACUGAAGGCUUGCUUUUAAAAUCGAUUACGGGGACGAAUGGUGAACACCCGACUUCGCUGUCGAAUAUAAAAAGAAAGGUGAAAGCAGAUAUUUUCACAGCAAAGCGGGUAGUGAGCAGGAAAGCUGGUCCAUACCCGGUAUCUUUGGUGUCAGAAAACAAAAGAGUGUCAAUCAAACGGUUUCAACCACCACCAGUAGAUGAAUCCCCCUAGGGAGCAGUGAUGUCAGAUGUCAAAGGUCAGAGGUUGGAGCGCUGCUGACAGAAUUUCCCCAGGACUAAAGGCGUUUUCUGCAGAAAUGUUAUGAUACAACUUGUUUUAAAGUUCUAAAAGUGUGAACUUCGAACGAUCUAAUAAAGAAUAAAGAUAUCACAGAACAA